CGGCCGCGUCGACGGCAGCCAGAGGCGAUGAAAGACGUGGUAGCCUGCGAUAAGACUCGGUGAGGUGGCAACCAACCUGUCGGACCCCGGGCUACUUUACCGAAGUACGGGGAAACCCCACCAGUAUUUAUCGUGGUAUCGUAUGAUGAAUACAUAGUCAUACGAGGACCGGAACCGGGAAGAACUAGAAACAUACUAACGUACCCCGAAGGAAAAGAAUACCAACCGAGACUCCCUUAGUAGCGGCGAGACGAAGGGGCUAGCCCUUAAGUUGGUGAAGAAUUAGUGGAAGGCUCUGGAAAGUGCCGCGAUACAGG
rnacentral:rRNA from 1 species